rnacentral:lncRNA from 1 species
CUCUCAGUUCAGACCGUGAAGGCCAAGGGCUUGCCCGUAAGCCCUUAAUCAGGGCCCAGACUGAAUUCCUUAGGCUUUAUUCCUUUGCAGGGCAGAGAGGGAAAAAAGUGGUGGAUUGACAAGGAAAACUGGCUGGUGGUGAAUGUGUUCCCCUGCAAGAAGCCCUUGGGAGCGUGAGAGCUUUCCAGAAAACCCGACUAAUGAGAAAACCAGGGACCAGAUGCCUGCCUGCUCUAGGCAUUGAGACUGAUCAUGUCAAAUGCCACUGAAUUUUCCUCUUCACUGUUAAACCUGGAAGUUUCUUACUGCCAACCAUGUAU